CGCCGCACCGCCACCUCGACUAAGCCAUGGUCAACGCGUCAAGAUCGGUCCGGCGAGCCAUCGCUGCACCGGGACGGGAUCCCCAUCCUCUCUUCUCUCUUCUCCGUUGACGGCAAGCGGGAAGAUGGUGCAGUUUGGUUGGAUGUCGUGUUGCAUUAUUUUUGCAUUUCCCUCGUCAUGCAGUUUGGACAGCGAGCCUUCCUCCAUGGUGCGUGCGUGUGUGCAAUCUGCGACGUGUGUGUGUGCAGUGCAGCCUAUAUAAACCGUGGCCGUGCAGCUCAAACAAGCCCGCAAUGAAGUUCCGUGCUUGUGCCCGUGCUGUUCGAUGAACACAAGUUUUUUUCCGUGCUUGUGUCCGUGCUGUUCGAUGAACACAAGUGCAAGCUCCUGGAUGGUGGACUGCCGAAGGUGCGGUGCAGUUGACGGACUGUUGAAGUUUGCCUGAGUCUUCGUUGCAGUACGGCUAGGUGUCGAAAGUUGUUCUUUUGUUGAUUUUUCAGGUUUCCAGAGACUGCAAAUCAUUAUAAGUAAACAUCUGUGGUUCGCUCUGAAAAAA